CAAGUCGAACGGCAGCACAGAGGAGCUUGCUCCUUGGGUGGCGAGUGGCGGACGGGUGAGGAAUACAUCGGAAUCUACUCUGUCGUGGGGGAUAACGUAGGGAAACUUACGCUAAUACCGCAUACGACCUACGGGUGAAAGCAGGGGAUCUUCGGACCUUGCGCGAUUGAAUGAGCCGAUGUCGGAUUAGCUAGUUGGCGGGGUAAAGGCCCACCAAGGCGACGAUCCGUAGCUGGUCUGAGAGGAUGAUCAGCCACACUGGAACUGAGACACGGUCCAGACUCCUACGGGAGGCAGCAGUGGGGAAUAUUGGACAAUGGGCGCAAGCCUGAUCCAGCCAUACCGCGUGGGUGAAGAAGGCCUUCGGGUUGUAAAGCCCUUUUGUCUGGGAAACAAA
rnacentral:rRNA from 1 species